CCAAAGAACUGUGGUUUAUUAAGACAUUAGCAGCAUCAAUAGAUGUAGAUAGCCUUACUUGAGGAGGAAUGGUGUUAACCUGGAGCAUGGAACGGAUUAAACAAUUCCCAUUCUAUCUGCAAAGCUGACCCUGUGAUUGUGUCCUAACAGCAGUACAGUGCUGGUCAGGAGAGAUGAAAAAUCAACACCAACAAAAUACCUCAUCUUAUUC
ensembl:lncRNA